rnacentral:rRNA from 1 species
AGUCAUCCCUGACCCCUUGAGGGUCCUAAAGGGCCGUUGGAGACCACAACGUUGAUAGGUGGGGUGUGUAAGCGUAGCGAUACGUUGAGCUAACCCAUACUAAUUACCCGUGAGGCUUAACCAU